rnacentral:ncRNA from 1 species
ACCAGAAAUGAACUAUCAAUCAAUAAACCUGGUCCGAAUAUAAGCGUCUAAGACAGAUUGAAAGCUCUUUCUCGAAUAUGUGGAUGAGUGCACGGACGUUCUUAGUUCAUGGACUGAUUUGUCUAAUUAAUUCCGAUAACAAACAAAACUCAAAUAUAUUAAAUGAUGAUGAUUUCAGGAUUAUGAUGUUGAAGGAUUUAUGGCCUUCAUUAGUAAGCAUAGAGAAAUGUGUGAACACUUGAAUAUGUUUAUAAAAAUGGAGCUAUACCUGUUAGUUUAUCCUUUUAUAGGGCACUAGCUUCUUAAAUAAAUAAAUUGUCUCUAGCAAUAAUGAGAUUGAGCAAUAAUAGCUCUAGAAUGCCGUUCGAUAUUCGGAACUGCACCCGCGCUAUAAUGAAAGUAUCUACCGGUAUUUGCUAAACUGAGAGGUCUAAGUGAACCGCUGAAACACUUUCAGGUUUGAAAUUGUAAACUGAAACUUUUCAUAUGAACUUGGAAUUCCUAGUAAAAGCGAGCCAUUAACAUGCAUUGGUUAAGACCC